GCUGAACCUGGGGCCCUAUAGGAGAGCACUGAUGGCCCACCCCUGAUUGUGGCCCUGGUCUUCAUGUCUGCAUCAGCCUCAGCCAUCUCAAGACCACAACAGGAACAUAGCCAAGUCAGAGAAGGAAGACCAAAAGCACCAGGGCCCUUCAUAUUAUUAAGCUGCUAAAUUAACUAAUCUUGGAAACUUCUAGACUCUACAAUUCUUGUUGUAUGAGUGGAUUGACAAUUAUUCUCUGGACUUUUUGGUAACCAAGAACUUCUAGCAACUAACCCUGGCAUGACCACCAGAAUCUGCAGGGCUGAGAGAAGAAAGAAAGGCAAAAGUGGAUGAAUGCAGCUGAAGAUGCUGUGGAACUCCUAUCACAUUCCAAGUGCUGUGUUGAUAUCUGGAGAUAUAGACAAGAUCGAAGCAGAUGCAGUCUUUCACAUGAAUAUUUGAAUCAGGCAGUAUGUUCCCCAAAUUAGCAAAGUAUCUCCCAGAUUUUUUCUUUGAUGAUAUAUUUGAAAUCCUAAUGCUGAAAGUUAAAUUAUCAGGGUUUUAAAACUAGAAGCAGUCAUUAUCAGAAUUUUAUAUACUAUUUAUUUUUAAGAACGUAAUUUGACUGUUUAAGUCUUAUUAUAAUUUUAAGUGAAGUACUUUGGGCAGUCAUAAAUAAAGUAAUGGGCAGGUA
rnacentral:lncRNA from 1 species